rnacentral:rRNA from 1 species
AUUGAACGCUGGCGGCAUGCCUUACACAUGCAAGUCGAACGGUAACGGGCCUUCGGGUGCCGACGAGUGGCGAACGGGUGAGUAAUACAUCGGAACGUGCCCGAUCGUGGGGGAUAACGAGGCGAAAGCUUUGCUAAUACCGCAUACGAUCUACGGAUGAAAGCCGGGGACCGCAAGGCCUUGCGCGGACGGAGCGGCCGAUGGCAGAUUAGGUAGUUGGUGGGAUAAAAGCUUACCAAGCCGACGAUCUGUAGCUGGUCUGAGAGGAUGAUCAGCCACACUGGGACUGAGACACGGCCCAGACUCCUACGGGAGGCAGCAGUGGGGAAUGUUGGACAAUGGGCGCAAGCCUGAUCCAGCCAUGCCGCGUGCAGGAUGAAGGCCUUCGGGUUGUAAACUGCUUUUGUACGGAACGAAAAGCCUUCUUUUAAUACAGGAGGGUCAUGACGGUACCGUAAGAAUAAGCACCGGCUAACUACGUG